GGCGGCAGCCAGCGCAGCCGCAGCGCCAGCGGGGAGCGGCUCAGGCUGUACUGCAGGUCUCGCGGCGCGGACGGCGGCCCUGCGACAUGGGGAGGCGCUGAGUGGAACCGGGCAGGGACCCAAGAGCGCGAGGCAUGGGGGGGGGGGUGCGGGGCUUGGACACCCGGCGUAGGAGCAGUAAGGAAGGUGGCAGACGUGGGGAGCAGCGCGGGUACGGAGAUCGAGGGGACCGGGAUGGGGACAUGGUCACAGGGAACAGAGGGCAUAACAGAGGGGAGGGACGUCCCAACCAGGCUCAGGAAGAGAUGAGAUGACUCCACAUCUGACAGAGCACACAGAGGUCGUGAGUUGGUAACUCCCCCAACAGCUGGUUAUGGAAACCACAACACCUCCAUCUGGCUGAUAUCUCCUCUCCUGCAGUCUUAGAGAUCGCUCCCUGCACACAUUUGGUGUGACACCGGCUCUCUCCCCCAGCACAUAAACAAGUGUCGCUGCUCUACAAUAAAAGCUCUCUUUCUGUUC
rnacentral:lncRNA from 1 species